rnacentral:rRNA from 1 species
GGCUCAGGAUGAACGCUAGCUACAGGCUUAACACAUGCAAGUCGAGGGGCAGCAUGAAGUUGCUGCAAACUUGAUGGCGACCGGCGCACGGGUGAGUAACGCGUAUCCAACCUGGCCCUUAGUAGGGGAUAGCCCGGCGAAAGUCGGAUUAAUACCCUAUGUUUUCCUAUGAGGACAUCUGAGCAGGAACAAAGAUUUAUCGCUAAGGGAUGGGGAUGCGUCUGAUUAGCUUGUCGGCGGGGUAACGGCCCACCGAGGCUACGAUCAGUAGGGGUUCUGAGAGGAAGGUCCCCCACAUUGGUACUGAGACACGGACCAAACUCCUACGGGAGGCAGCAGUGAGGAAUAUUGGUCAAUGGGCGAGAGCCUGAACCAGCCAAGUAGCGUGCAGGAUGAACCUGCCCUAUGGGUUGUAAACUGCUUUUAUGCGGGAAUAAAGUGCAUCACGUGUGGUGUUUUGUAUGUACCGCAUGAAUAAGGACCGGCUAAUUCCGUGCCAGCAGCCGC